UACGUAGGGGGCGAGCGUUGUCCGGAUUCAUUGGGCGUAAAGAGCUCGUAGGCGGCCUCGAAAGUCAGGUGUGAAGUCCUGGAGCUCAACUCCAGAACUGCCUUUGAUACUGGGGAGCUUGGAGUCCGGGAGAGGUGAGUGGAACUGCGAGUGUAGAGGUGAAAUUCGUAGAUAUCGUAAGGAAGACCAGUGGCGAAGGCGGGUCUCUGGACAGUUCCUGACGCUGAGGCACGAAGGUCAGGGGAGCAAACGGG
rnacentral:rRNA from 1 species